rnacentral:rRNA from 1 species
UACGUAGGGGGCAAGCGUUGUUCGGAAUUACUGGGCGUAAAGGGCGCGUAGGCGGCACAGCAAGUCGGGAGUGAAAGCCCGGGGCUCAACCCCGGAAUGGCUUUCGAAACUGCUGAGCUAGAGUACAGAAGGGGCAACCGGAAUUCCCAGUGUAGCGGUGAAAUGCGUAGAUAUUGGGAAGAACACCUGAGGCGAAGGCGGGUUGCUGGGCUGAUACUGACGCUGAGGAGCGAAAGCGUGGGGAGCGAACAGG